CGCGCCAACUUUGCCUGUAUUUUCAAUGAGCCAAACGAUUUUACCCCCUCCUACACGCGAUGUAUCCUAAAGCACGCUUGUCGCGGCAACGUUCACCACAUACACACACACAUCUCCACACUCAGGGUACGACAUCUUCCCUGUUGCUGUUCUGGACUCAGACAAAAUUUGUGUUUCUACACUUAUUGUUCAAAAAAGUAGUAGCUCUUAGGAUCUGAAUUUACAAACAAAUAUCAAAAUUUUAUGUUCUGCUAAUGAUAUUGCACUAAAUUUAAUUGCACUACAUUAAGUUUUUACAUAUCUUUCGUAAAAGUUCGUCAGAGUAUGAAAAUGUCGAUACAAUUUGUCAUGAAUAAUUAAAUUUUAAGAUUUUCGCACAUAAAAUUAUGACGCGCGCUGUGUGUGCGGCGGCGUAAUUCGCUACUCGUAUAGCCGUCUCGCUUCUUCUUGUGUGUGCUUUACCGUUGCUCACCGCUUCAAGAACAUUGCUGCUCACACACACGUCAGUCUGUGGCAAACAAUUGGAGGGGGAGGAUGUGUCGGUUUGCUCCAGAAAUCGUGUGUGAUUUUGGUGUUCUGGAUUUGGUUCCAUCGCUGUUUGUUUUGGUGGAAUUGAAAAGGUAAGAAUCAUCAACUGAUGUAAAACUGUGAGAGUAAGAUGAUGCUGAUGGUGACUGAUUAUUUUCUUUGUUUCUUUUCCUGCUUUCAUCCACUGAUAGUGUCGAGCAUCGCCGAGGAUGUGAUCGAAUGCGGAAUAUUCGAAACGAGGAGAUUCAUUCCGGAUUUUGUUUGCAAUAAGCGCUGAACUAAUCCUCCAGCUUACAGGACGGCAAAGGUACACGCACAAACGUGCACACAUCAGCCUUCUCGGAGAACGAGAACACGGGAGGGGGAGACCGGCAACGUAUAGAACCUUUACGCUCCCUCGUGCGUUCGUGCGUGCGUGCGCGCGCGCGUCUAUGUGUGUGUAUGUGUGUGCAUGCCUGCGUGCGUGGCUGUGUGUGUUUUUGCCGCUUCGCAUAACGAGAUCCUACGGGAUCACCUUGCGAAAAACACCAAGAGAGGGGGAGGGGUAGGUAUGUGUGUAUGUGUGUGUGUAUGUG